UGCAAUGUGGUGUAGUGGUUUGAGCGUUGGACUAUGACUCUGGAGACCAGGGUUCAGUUCCCUGCUCAG
rnacentral:tRNA from 1 species